AAGUCGUAACAAGGUUUCCGUAGGUGAACCUGCGGAAGGAUCAUUAGUAGUAGAGCGUGAGUUUAAAAGUGAAGGCGUGAGCCUGAACUUUUAAGCGAACGAGCGAGGGCGACAGCCUGAGCAGAGGGUGGAGGAAAGAUACUGCUAGCACUAUGUGAUACAGUAUUAAUCCACACCCAGUCACGGGCGCUCGCAGGAGUGCCUUGUAACAAGUAAUUUACAUCUAAAUCAUACAAGCAAAACUUUUAACAAUGGAUCUCUGGGCUCCU
rnacentral:misc_RNA from 1 species